rnacentral:rRNA from 1 species
UACAGAGGUCCCAAGCGUUACUGAGAAUCACUGGGUUUAAAGGGUGCGUAGGUGGUCCGUUAAGUCAGUUGUGAAAUCCCCGGGCUCAACCCGGGAAAUGCUUCUGAUACUGGCGGACUUGAGGCCAGUAGGGGUCACUAGAACUGACGGUGGAGCGGUGAAAUGCGUUGAUAUCAGGAGGAACACCCAUGGCGAAGGCAGCAAACUGGUCAUCAACUGACGCUGAGGCGCGAAAGCGUGGGUAGCAAACAGG